rnacentral:rRNA from 1 species
GAUGAACGCUGACAGAAUGCUUAACACAUGCACGUCAACUGUGGCGGACGGGUGAGUAACGCGUAAAGAACUUGCCUCACAGCUAGGGACAACAUUUGGAAACGAAUGCUAAUACCUGAUACUGUGAGAGAGCUUUCCGUCCCAUUAGCUAGUUGGAGAGGUACAGGCUCACCAAGGCGAUGAUGGGUAGCCGGCCUGAGAGGGUGGUCGGCCACAAGGGGACUGAGACACGGCCGUUACUCCUACGGGAGGCAGCAGUGGGGAAUAUUGGACAAUGGACCAAAGUCUGAUCCAGCAAUUCGGUGUGAACGAUGAAGUUUUCGGAAUGUAAAGUGCUUUCAGUUGGGAAGCGGUACCAACAGAAGAAGUGACGGCUAAAUACGUGCCAGCAGCCGCGGUAAUAC